AUUGAACGCUGGCGGCAGGCCUAACACAUGCAAGUCGAGCGAGCGGCGGGCGGGUGAGUAAUGUAUGGGGACUUCCCGAUAGAGGGGGAUAACUACAGGAAACGUUAUCUAAUCCCGCAUACUAUCGGGUACCCCAUAUGGGAUUGGCUAGUAGGUGAGGUAAUGGCUCACCUGGGCGACGAUCCCUAGCUGGUCUGAGAGGAUGAUCAGCCACACUGGGACUGAGACACGGCCCAGACUCCUACGGAGGCAGCAGUGGGGAAUAUUGCACAAUGGGCGCAAGCCUGAUGCAGCCAUGCCGCGUGUAUGAAGAAGGCCCUAGGGUUGUAAAGUACUUUCAGUCGGGAGGCGUUACCGACAGAAGAAGCACCGGCUAACUCCGUGCCAGCAGCCGCGGUAAUUC
rnacentral:rRNA from 1 species